AUACGUAGGUGGCAAGCGUUGUCCGGAAUUAUUGGGCGUAAAGCGCGCGCAGGUGGUUCCUUAAGUCUGAUGUGAAAGCCCCCGGCUCAACCGGGGAGGUUCAUUGGAAACUGGGGAACUUGAGUGCAGAAGAGGAGAGUGGAAUUCCAAGUGUAGCGGUGAAAUGCGUAGAGAUUUGGAGGAACACCAGUGGCGAAGGCAACUCUCUGGGUCGAAACUGACGCUGAGGCGCGAAAGCGUGGGGAGCAAACAGGAUUAGAUACCCUGGUAGUCCACGCCGUAAACGAUGAGUGCUAAGUGUUGGGUGGUUAACGCCCCUCAGUGCUGCAGCUAACGCAUUAAGCACUCCGCCUGGGGAGUACGGUCGCAAGACUGAAACUCAAAUGAAUUGACGGGG
rnacentral:rRNA from 1 species